rnacentral:snRNA from 1 species
GUGCUCGCUUGGGAAGCACAUAUACUAAAAUUGGAAUGAUACAGAGAAGAUUAGCAUGGCCUCUGCACAGGGAUGAAUCAUAAAUUCAUGAAGGGAAUUCCUCAGGA